AUGUGUCUCCCAAAAUAUAAAGGAGGCAUGGGAUUUAGAGAUUUACAUGCUUUCAGUGUUGCUAUGCUUGCUAAGCAAAGUUGGCGGCUAAUAACGCACCCUGAUACUUUGUGUGCACAGGUUCUUAGAGCAAAGUAUUAUCUAGAUGGAAAUUUGCUUAUGGCAGGCCCAAAGAAGGGCUCGUCUUUUACAUGGUAGAGCAUUGUGGUGGGUCUUCAAACCUUCAAGAGAGGGCAUAUCUGGCGAGUGGGGACGGGUGCCAAAAUAAAUAUUUGGACGGAUCACUAG
rnacentral:rRNA from 1 species